rnacentral:rRNA from 1 species
AAGCCCAAUAGCUAGCCCGACCCCCUAAACUCAAUUAACCCCCCUCAAUAACCCCCAAAACACCAAAAACAUAAAAUAAACCAUUUUUCCCUCUUAGUAUAGGAGAUAGAAAAGAGC